rnacentral:rRNA from 1 species
AGCAUGUGAUAGCAAGGGCUGGGCAAGACCGGUGCCAGCCGCCGCGGUAACACCGGCAGCCCGAGUGGUGAUCACUAUUAUUGGGUCUAAAGGGUCCGUAGCCGGUUUAAUCAGUCUUCUGGGAAAUCUAAUCGCUUAACUAUUAGGCUUCCAGGGGAUACUGUUAGACUUGGGACCGGGAGAGGUAAGAGGUACUGCAGGGGUAGGAGUGAAAUCUUGUAAUCCCUGUGAGACCACCAGUGGCGAAGGCGUCUUACCAGAACGGGUCCGACGGUGAGGGACGAAAGCUGGGGGCACGAACCGGAUUAGAUACCCGGGUAGUCCCAGCUGUAAACGAUGCUCGUUAGGUGUCAGGAACGGUGCGACUGUUUCUGGUGCCGAAGGGAAGCCGUGAAACGAGCCACCUGGGAAGUACGGCCGCAAGGCUGAAACUUAAAGGAAUUGGCGGGGGAGCACUACAACGGGUGGAGCCUGCGGUUUAAUUGGACUCAACGCCGGAAAACUCACCGGGGGCGACAGCAAUAUGUAGGUCAGGUUAAAGGUCUUACCUGAAUCGCUGAGAGGAGGUGCAUGGCCGUCGUCAGUUCGUACUGUGAAGCAUCCUGUUAAGUCAGGCAACGAGCAAGACCCGUGCCCACUGUUACCAGCAUAUCCUUUAUGGAUGAUGGGGACUCUGUGGGGACCGCUGCUGCUAAAGCAGAGGAAGGUGCGGGCUACGGUAGGUCAGUAUGCCCCGAAUCUCCCGGGCUACACGCGGGCUACAAUGGUUGGGACAAUGGGUAUCUACUCCGAAAGGAGUUGGCAAUCUCUUAAACCCAAUCGUAGUUCGAAUUGAGGGCUGUAACUCGCCCUCAUGAAGCUGGAAUCCGUAGUAAUCGCGUUUCAACAUAGCGCGGU